rnacentral:other from 1 species
ACAUCUCUGGGAUGUUCGCGAUGUGGGUUAGUCCCCUGAGCCGAUAUUCUUUACAUUAGAACGAUGUGAUUUUCGAUUGGUGUGUAAGCCUUACUUGUAAGGAAACCUAAAAAUCGAAACAUGUUGUUCACCUUGAACCUUGGGUUCAAGGGUUACGACCCUAAACGACAUCUUGGAGUGUUU